rnacentral:lncRNA from 1 species
CAAGUGGACAGUUACAGAAGCUUAGCCUCAGAGCAGGGCCAGCUCUUCUUAGCAGUGCCCUGUGAGGCCAACAACAUCAUUCUACACCCAGAAAAUCUAUUAGAAAACUGAAGCUCAGAGACUUUAAGGGACAUGCACAAGCUUACUCCAGCAGUCAGUGUCAUCACUACAAUAUGGGUUCAGUCCUUGUUUUUUGUUGUUGUUGUUGUUGUUUUGUUUUGUUUUGUUUUUUUGAGACGGAGUCUCUCUCUUUUGCCCAGGCCAGAGUGCAGUGGCGCUAUCUCGGCUCACUGUAAGCGCUACCUCCUGGGUUCACGCCAUUCUCCUGCCACAGUCCUUGUUAACGUGACUCUCUACAAGCAAAGCUUCCUGCCAAGUAACAAUGCUUUCCAUUUGUUUGGAGCUUUAUAAUUUAGUUGUUUUCUCCAUUUUGAGCUAUCUGAUUUCAUCCUCCCAUCAGCCCUCCUGAACAGAGAAGGCAGCCAAUGUUUUCUUCUUUAAUAAAUGAAGAAACUGAGGUACAAAGCAUUUGAGAUACUUGUCUGAGGGAACUUCAUAAAUGGGUCGAAACCAAAAGCUACCCUUAGGAAAGUUAUAUCUUUUUCCUUCA